CCUACGCGAGGCAGCAGUGAGGAAUAUUGGUCAAUGGACGCAAGUCUGAACCAGCCAUGCCGCGUGCAGGAAGACGGCUCUAUGAGUUGUAAACUGCUUUUGUACGAGGGUAAAUCCCGAUACGUGUAUCGGGUUGAAAGUAUCGUACGAAUAAGGAUCGGCUAACUCCGUGCCAGCAGCCGCGGUAAUACGGAGGAUUCAAGCGUUAUCCGGAUUUAUUGGGUUUAAAGGGUGCGUAGGCGGUUCGAUAAGUUAGAGGUGAAAUCCCGGGGCUCAACUCCGGCACUGCCUCUGAUACUGGCGGGCUAGAGUUGAGGUGCGGUAGGCGGAAUGUAUGGUGUAGCGGUGAAAGGCAUAGAGAUCAUACAGAACACCGAUUGCGAAGGCAGCUUACCAAACUACGACUGACGUUGAGGCACGAAAGCGUGGGGAGCGAACAGGAUUAGAUACCCCAGUAGUC
rnacentral:rRNA from 1 species